rnacentral:rRNA from 1 species
GAUGAACGCUGGCGGCGUGCCUAUUACAUGCAAGUCGAGCGAACGGACGAGAAGCUUGCUUCUCUGAUGUUAGCGGCGGACGGGUGAGUAACACGUGGAUAACCUACCUAUAAGACUGGGAUAACUUCGGGAAACCGGAGCUAAUACCGGAUAAUAUUUUGAACCGCAUGGUUCAAAAGUGAAAGACGGUCUUGCUGUCACUUAUAGAUGGAUCCGCGCUGCAUUAGCUAGUUGAUAAGGUAACGGCUUACCAAGGCAACGAUGCAUAGCCGACCUGAGAGGGUGAUCGGCCACACUGGAACUGAGACACGGUCCAGACUCCUACGGGAGGCAGCAGUAGGGAAUCUUCCGCAAUGGGCGAAAGCCUGACGGAGCAACGCCGCGUGAGUGAUGAAGGUCUUCGGAUCGUAAAACUCUGUUAUUAGGGAAGAACAUAUGUGUAAGUAACUGUGCACAUCUUGACGGUACCUAAUCAGAAAGCCACGGCUAACUACGUG